GUCAGGAUGGCCGAGUGGUAUAAGGAGGAACCAGAUUUAAACUUUGGUUCGCGAGAGAGAGCGUGGGCUCGGAACCCCACUCCUGACA